rnacentral:misc_RNA from 1 species
CUAUGAACGAAUUCGGAUCCGUUGCCUGUUGUCAUUACUUCAAUGAUUGAUUAAUGAAAAUUGUUGCAUUUUGUUGUCAAGAUUCGUCGUUACAGGUCCAUAUUUGCUUAAUUUUGUGUUCCAAGUAGCGAGAACCAGCUUGCUAGCUUCUGGGCAACAGAAGAAAACGAAAAAAUUCCGUCUUUCCCAAUUUUCUUUUUGUUUAACGGAUAAUAAUUCAAGCAAUGCAAUCGUGUUCUGCUUAAAAAUUUCUGAUUUUGCUUUAAACUAUAGAGAGAUCAGGUAACGAUGAUGAUAAUGGAGAGUGCAUUAGUGGGCAAGUUUUGUAAGCCAUGCUGCUUCCAUUCCACGAAAGGAGUGCUGCCGAAAAGGAAGGGAAUGCCUACCCACCACCUCUUUUCCUCUGAAUUCAACAUUCUGUCACUCCUUACUUCGACCCAUCUCUCUGUACAGGCGGGCGCCUUGAAACAAAAAAGUUCUGCUGGUUUUGUUUCGAAAGAACUUGGUUGGCCUUCUCCUGAUGAUGAAAUCCCAUUCUGGAAGAGGGAUUUCCCUUCAUGGGAUGCAAGCCCUGAAGUUCCAACUGACAUUGUCAAAGAUUCCGAUCUCUUGCACGUAGUUCACGUUACAGCUGAGAUGGCACCCAUAGCCAAAGUUGGUGGCCUUGGUGAUGUUGUGACUGGACUUGCCCGUGCUUGCCUGUUGCGAGGGCAUACCGUGGAUAUAAUGCUUCCUUUCUACGAGUGCAUUCAAAAGCAGCAAAUUAAUGACUUGGCAUUAAUCACUACAUAUAAUUCAUAUCACGAUGGGAACUGGAUCCCAACUAAUGCAUAUCGAGGAGUAGUUUCAGGGAUUCCGGUGAUAUUUAUUGAGCCAUCAAAUGAAUUCUUCAAGGGGCAACAUGUGUAUGGUGGUUCAUACAACGAGUUGGAGGCUUAUUUGUUUUUUAGCCGUGCUUGUCUUGAAUGGAUGCAGGUUGCAGGAAUUCAACCUGACAUUAUUCAUGUCCAUGAGUGGCAGACUGGUGCUUUGCCUCUGCUUUACUGGGAUAUGUAUCAGAAUCUUUCACUUAAGAAGCCUCGAGUCAUAUUGACUAUACACAAUAUGGAGCAUUAUGGAGAGUGCCGACAAGAGCAACUUAGCAAGUGUGGUCUUGAUGGGUCUUUGUAUGCAACUAUUGAUAAGGCAGUUGAUGAUCGAACAGUUGGCCAUAAUCCUGAGAGGUUAAGCUUAUUGAAAGGUGGAAUAGUGUACAGCAAUGCAGUAGUUACAGUCUCUCCAACAUAUCUCAAGGAAACACUCUGCUCUGGAUGGUUGGCAAGCACCUUGAUAACACAUCGUGAUAAGUACUUUGGUAUUUUAAAUGGGAUAGACACUGCAAUGUGGAAUCCUGCUGCUGAUGUUUUCCUGCCUGCCAAGUUCAAUGCUCAAAAUAUUGAGGGCAAGAAGUUAUGCAAACACUAUGUACAAAGGGGACUUGGUAUGGCUUCUGAAAGCAUUGAAGCUGGUAACUAUGUGCUGGAUAAAAUGCUUAAGAUCCCCUUGGUUGUUUGUAUAAGUAGACUAGUUCCUCAGAAGGGUCUUCAUUUGAUUAUCCAUGCAAUUAAGUACGUUGAACAACUUGGUGGGCAGAUGGUUGUCCUUGGAAAAGCUUCAGAUGGCCGGGUUGAAGGAGAAUUCAAACAUCUUGCAGAGUUGCAUAGUCAUGGUCCCAGAGUCCGUAUCCUAUUAAUGUAUAGUUGUAUUGGUUCCUAUGCAUACAAACUAGCAUACCUUUAAUAUCAUGAAAUAGCGUGCAGAGGACAUUAGUUGGUUGCUGACUGUUAUCAUUUUUACCAGUGAGGAGCUCUCCCACUUGCUUUAUGCUGCAGCAGACAUGGUAUUAGUUCCAUCCAUAUUUGAACCAUGUGGACUUUCCCAAAUGAUUGGAAUGCGAUAUGGUGCGGUACCGGUGGUUAGAAAGACUGGUGGCCUUGCAGACACUGUCUUUGACAUGGAUGACCAGUCAAACCGUGAGACAGCUAAUGGGUAUUAUGAUUCUUUUUUUGUUUUCGUGGAAUGUGUAUUGUGAUUUUUAAUUAUGAGUUUUACUUCUUUAUCUUUUAGCCUUGUCCUUAUAUUUUUAAUAAUGCACGAGUUCUAAGUUUAUGUUGAUGUAUAUCUAUUUUCAGCAGUAUCAAUGAUUACCCAUGGUCAUCAGGUGUUUACCUCUGUUCAGCAUGUAUAGAUGAUAGCUAUGUCAUUAUAUUAUUACCCUAAGAAUAGAUUUAUUACUUAGAUUGAAAAAGGAAAAAGGAAAAAGGUUGGCACCUGUCUGACUGAUAGAUCCUUCCAAGGAUCAUGUGACCAUUAAAGUCAAUUUGUGCUAAUUCUUGAUAAUGGUGCUACUUCAGGUGCCAUUGACAUAUCAAAAGUUGGGUUCUACCAUUUGGAUGUGUCGCAUGCAUACACUGUCAUGAAGCCUCACAUAUUUGUGGCCUCUUUGAAGCUAUAUUAUAAUAUGUUGUCAAGUUCUUGGUUACUAUGAAGUAGUGUGGCUUGCAAGAUGAUAAACUCCUCUGGCCCUUGACGGAGAAUUUUAUGUGCAUUUGGUUUCUUUGAAAUCCUUGAAUACAAUCUUUAACAGUUGUUUUAGAUGUUAUAUUAACUGAUGGUCAUCAUCUGUAUGAAUAAGCAUUGUGCAAACUGACAUUGGUUAACACCCUUCUCAUUGUAAUUCAAUGUUCACAAAGUGAGUUUCAUUUAUAUUUAUGUUUUAAGCUAUGAGGUCUAUAUUUGAAAAGACACAUGUGAAGACUUUAUGUACAUUUAUUUUUAGUGUAUGAAGACAUCCUUCACACAUUUUGGGUUGAACGUAUCCUUGUUAAUCAUUUCAAGCAUUCUUUUCAAUGUUUUAAAAAAAAGUCAUAAUUUUCUUCUGCAACUAAGUUUUCGGGCAAUUAGCCAAACAGUUUCCUAACAUUGCCGAAGUAGUUGGUUUUAGGUCAAUGCAUUGAUGGAGUGCACAUGCAUACAUGUGUUUCUGCAUCUGUCCAUAUAAAAAGUUUUAACUGCUUCUGCCUCAUAAUCUGAUGAGUAGCUAUUGUCCGUUUAUGUUUCACAUUAUUGGAUUGAAGGUCAAUAACAGUCAAUUGCGUUAUUGUAAAAUGAAAUAUUAUAAUUGUGUUUAUUCAGGUUUGUUUUUGAAGGAAUUGAUGAAGGAUCCUUAAAUUGGGCUCUAGAUCGUGCAUUUGCUUACUAUAGAGACAAACCAGAUGAGUGGAAUGGCAUUGUACAGAAGGUUAUGGAAAUUGACAAUAGCUGGAACAAAACAGCUGGGAAAUAUAUUGAAAUUUAUGACUCAGUUAGGGUGAGAUCCUGAGGUUUUCCCGGUCAAAUCUGCUACAUGCAUCAAAGCCUCAUAUUUAUGCUGUUUUCUCCUUAAUGCAAGUUCAAGUGCUGGAUUUUAUGUGAACAUUAUGUGUCCCUUGCUCACUUCCCCUUCCAAUUUUGAAUUUGCAAUGUUUAUUUUUUGUUUUAGUUCUACUGAGCUUGGAAUUUAUGCUCUUUACCUCCUUUUCAUAAACUAGCUCCCUAAUAAUUCUCCUAUUAGCUUAGCUUAUGCAAUAUUGUAUAUAAAAUUAUUGAGACUUGCCGAUAACCAGG